rnacentral:rRNA from 1 species
GAGUUUGAUCAUGGCUCAGAAUCAACGCUGGCGGCGUGCCUAACACAUGCAAGUCGAACGAGAAAGGGGCUUCGGCCCUGAGUAAAGUGGCGCACGGGUGAGUAACACGUGACUAACCUACCCUUGAGUGGGGAAUAACUUCGGGAAACCGAGGCUAAUACCGCAUAACACCUACGGGUCAAAGGAGCAAUUCGCUUAAGGAGGGGGUCGCGGCAGAUUAGUUAGUUGGCGGGGUAAUGGCCCACCAAGACGGUGAUCUGUAUCCGGCCUGAGAGGGCGCACGGACACACUGGAACUGAAACACGGUCCAGACUCCUACGGGAGGCAGCAGUGGGGAAUUUUGCGCAAUGGGGGAAACCCUGACGCAGCAACGCCGCGUGGAGGAUGAAGUCCCUUGGGACGUAAACUCCUUUCGAUCGGGACGAUUAUGACGGUACCGGAAGAAGAAGCCCCGGCUAACUUCGUACCAGCAGCCGCGGUAAUACG